ensembl:ncRNA H09G03.3 ncRNA
GUCUUGGCGCAAUUCUCGUGCCUUGGCGCAAUUCUCGUGCCUUGGCGCAUUUUUAGUGUCUUGAUGCAAUUUUGGUGCCUUGACGCGAUUCUAGUGCAUUGGCGCAAUUUUGAUGCCUAGGCGCAUUUUCGGUGUCUUUGCUCAAUUC